GUCACUGCUAUUGGAGUUCGAUUAAGCCAUGCGAGUCAAGAGUUCUUCGUGAACUCGGCGGACUGCUCAGUAACACGUGGGUAAUCUACCCUAAGGUCAGGGAUAAUCCCGGGAAACUGGGAAUAAUACCUGAUAGGUGAAGAUGUCUGGAACGAUACUUCGCCUAAAGCUCCGGCGCCUUAGGAUGAGCCUGCGCCCGAUUAGGUUGUUGGUGGUGUAAGGGACCACCAAGCCUGUGAUCGGUACGGGUGUUGAGAGACAUAGCCCGGAGAUGGGGGCUGAGACACGGCCCCAGGCCCUACGGGGCGCAGCAGGCGCGAAAACUACGCAAUGCGCGAAAGCGUGACGUGGGAACUCCAAGUGCCUUGCCUUAGGGUAAGGCUUUUGUUUAGUGUAAGUAGCUAAACGAAUAAGUGCUGGGUAAGACCGGUGCCAGCCGCCGCGGUAACACCGGCAGCGCAAGUGGUGACCGCUUUUAUUGGGCCUAAAGCGUUCGUAGCCGGUUUGGUAAGUCUUUGGGUAAAUCCUCUGGCUCAACCAGAGGAAUUCCGGAGAUACUGCCAGACUUGGAGCUGAGAGAGGUCAGAGGUACCUCUGGGGUAGGGGUGAAAUCCUAUAAUCCUAGGGGGACCACCAGUGGCGAAGGCGUCUGACUAGAGCAAGCUCGACGGUGAGGGACGAAAGCCAGGGGCGCGAACGGGAUUAGAUACCCCGGUAGUCCUGGCCGUAAACGCUGCGCGCUAGGUGUUGCAUGCUCUACGAGGGCGUGCAGUGCCGAAGAGAAGUUGAUAAGCGUGCCGCCUGGGAAGUAUUACCGCAAGGUAGAAACUUAAAGGAAUUGGCGGGGGAGCACCACAAGGGGUGGAGUCUGCGGUUCAAUUGGAUUCAACGCCGGA
rnacentral:rRNA from 1 species